rnacentral:rRNA from 1 species
UCCGGGGGGAGCAAGCGUUGUUCGGAUUUACUGGGCGUAAAGGGCGCGUAGGCGGCCACCGCAAGUCAAUUGUGAAAUCUCCGGGCUUAACUCGGAAAGGUCAACUGAUACUGCGGGGCUAGAGUGCGGAAGGGGCAACUGGAAUUCUCGGUGUAGCGGUGAAAUGCGUAGAUAUCAGGAGGAACACCGGUGGCGAAGGCGGUUCUCUGGGCAUUACCUGACGCUGAGGAGCGAAAGUGUGGGGAGCGAACAGG